UCAUUGGUGGUUCAGUGGUAGAAUUCUUGCCUGCCAUGUGAGAGGCAAGGGGUUUGAUUCCUGGCCAAUGAA
rnacentral:tRNA from 1 species